AUGCCCGGGGAGGGCGUGGGGAGCAGGGGGGGCAGAGCAGCCCUAAAGAGCCCGGUACAGUCCUACAGAGCCCAAUGCUGCCCUACAGAGCCCGGUACAGCCCUACAGAGCCCAGUGCUGCCCUACAGAGCCCAAUGCUGCCCUACAGAGCCCAGUGCUGCCCUACAGAGCCCAGUGCUGCCCUACAGAGCCCAGUGCUGCCCUACAGAGCCCAGUGCUGCCCUACAGAGCCCAGUGCUGCCCUACAGAGCCCAGUGCUGCCCUACAGAGCCCAGUGCUGCCCUACAGAGCCCAGUGCUGCCCUACAGAGCCCAGUGCUGCCCUACAGAGCCCAGUGCUGCCCUACAGAGCCCAGUGCUGCCCUACAGAGCCCAGUGCUGCCCUACAGAGCCCAGUGCUGCCCUACAGAGCCCAGUGCUGCCCUACAGAGCCCAGUGCUGCCCUACAGAGCCCAGUGCUGCCCUACAGAGCCCAGUGCUGCCCUACAGAGCCCAGUGCUGCCCUACAGAGCCCAGUGCUGCCCUACAGAGCCCAGUGCUGCCCUACAGAGCCCAGUGCUGCCCUACAGAGCCCAGUGCUGCCCUACAGAGCCCAGUGCUGCCCUACAGAGCCCAGUGCUGCCCUACAGAGCCCAGUGCUGCCCUACAGAGCCCAGUGCUGCCCUACAGAGCCCAGUGCUGCCCUACAGAGCCCAGUGCUGCCCUACAGAGCCCAGUGCUGCCCUACAGAGCCCAGUGCUGCCCUACAGAGCCCAGUGCUGCCCUACAGAGCCCAGUGCUGCCCUACAGAGCCCAGUGCUGCCCUACAGAGCCCGGAGCUGCACUACAGAGCCCAGUGCCCUGCACAGCCUGGUGCUGCCCUACAGAGCCCGGUGCCCUGCACAGCCCCAGCGCUGCCCCGCCCAGCGGGAUGCGGGGAUGUGGGUUCAGAGAUGGGCUGGCCCGCACGGAAACUCCCACUUGGCCGCCGGCCCGGGCAGGCAGCUCCGCGGGGGCUGCCCACCGUCAGAACACCCUGCCGGGCCCUCCCGAGCCAUCCCACACUGAUUCCUACUGA
rnacentral:lncRNA from 1 species